ACUUGUCUGACUCUUAUCUGAUCGGCUACUCUGCUAUUUUAUAUAGGAAGAUUUAGAUUCCAGGAACCCUGGUUAUCUCAAAGUUUGGAUGAGCACAACAGGCUUCUGCCAUCAGGUUAAGUUUCCUGGAGAAUUCUGAAGGAUAUACCCCCUUCCUCUCCUACAGCACAGAGUUGUUCUGUGCACUUGGAUCAGCCUCCACAACUUCCCCCCGGGACAGGGCACCCAUCACCAUCUCCUACCUGGACAACAGCAAACACUGCCCCCGUGACUUCCUGGUGCCAUCGUUGGCUCCAUUAUGUCCGUUCUCCAGUGGCUGGCAGAGUGAGCUUGAAGAACGUGUGACACGCCCUUCAGAAUGUUCUACUUCCUGUUCCAGAAGGACAGCCCCUCAUGCCUUCCUGUGGGCCACACGCCACCUCUUCCUCAGUGCCCCAGCCUGGCAUCCUCUUCCUGCAUUCAGCCUUCUUUUCCGAGGUGUCAUCUUGCUGGAGGGCAGAAGGAUUCCCUGGAACCUGGGGGCCAGCAGGACAGAGGAAACAGAAAGUACAUGACCGAUGAUGUCUUUCGACCACAGAAAGGGCUGGAAGAAGCAGGGGACCUACUGUUUGAAUAAACCCAGUGGAAAAACAGAAGCCCCAUUUCAUACUUGAUUCAGCUCUUCAAGUUUAAAUCUUGAAUCUCCUCAACUACACGGAACAGUGUCUCUCCCAAGUCAUCUGACACUCACUCUGUUCUCUGGAUCAUUCCUUCCUAGAGAACGUUGCUCUUGGAGGGCUGUGAUCUGCUCUUACCCACUUGCCUUUCUGACCCACUGAGUGCAUCUCCACAGUCAUUUGGGGUGAUCUGAUCUGACCAGGAAGGGUUGGGUGGCUCGUGGAGCUUGGGAAGCACUCUCACUGUGGCGGUCCCCAUUGGUGGUCACGGGGUUGCCACAGUGAGCUACGUUUCUACCCUCAUCUCUCUAUAUGUUACCGUGGAAUCUCUGACUGAGGACCCAUGGGCUCACCCAAUGUGAUAAAGUCCUGAAGCUCAGCCAGGACGUCCGACCCCAGCUGCAGGACUUUCCAAUAGAUAGAUGCAUACAACUUGAGAAGAAAUUGACUUAGAAACCUGAAGUUGGAAAACGGGUUGCCUGACAUUCUGUGCAAGACUGAAUCUCUGAGAAAUGAAGGCUGUGUAACUUUGGGACCAUGUCUUUUCCAGCCUACAUAGACCCCAGGAAACUUUGCAGUUGUUCCCCAAGUAUGGAUGGAGUCAAACUUGAUGUCCUUUCAUCCCCCCAUCCCAUCCACUAAUCCAUAUCCUUUGGAAAUUUUAGAGUGCCAGGCCUCAUGUAAAUACACCAAAACAAUUUAAGUCAUUUAUGUUCUACUAAGCCAAGAGUUCUUUAGUGGUGGAAGAAGAUGGGCUCUUACACGAAUGGAAGGGUCUUGGCUAUUUGCGUCGGUAUCAACAGAAGGACUAGACGCUUGCACUAAAAGAAAAAGCUGAGGGAUGGGGGCAGGAAGCGGGAAGCUGGGACCCAAGCCCCACCUUCCUGAGUUGGAAGGUGACAGGUAGACUCCUGCUUGUUUGCCGGAGAGGCCUGGCAGAGGAGGUGCAUCCCAGCACAGAAGGGCAGCACAGAGGCAGCCUGAGAAGAUUCUGUCGCUGCCAGGUCACCAGGACCUCUGGACCACAGCUGGGUUGCGCUGUUUUCCAGUUUGUGAAACCAGGACUUUGAGGAACAUCCUGUGAAUUGGUGUAAUUUUGAUUUUCCUGGAGGAUUUUUGAGGUCAGCAUGACUGCUGUCACUGUAAGUGUGGGUGUGCUUUCCCACAAGAAGCAUCCUGAGUCUGCGGGAAGGUGGGGACUUCCCAUUUUGGGGGCCUGAGGGUCCCUUCCAGGGAGCUGCAGUGACCGAGCCACCUGGGUCUCGUCCUCAUUAAGGAAAGCAUGCUGCAGGUGAUGGUGGACAAGCGGCGCUUUGUUGCUGCCUUUCCCUCAAGGGACUCAGGGCUCUUCAAAGGCGGCUCCCUUUGAUUGCCCCACCCCCACGUUAGGGGACUGUCCCUAGCUUUUCAUUCCGUGGUUUUGCUUCCCAGGCAGUGACUGUUCUGAGGAACCUAUUCGUCCACAGCCCCACUUUCGCCUCUAAAAGGAGCUGGAAUGGCUCCUUACUGCCCUCCUGCCAGGCCCUCGACUGAAUCCAAUAUAGAGACCUUUAUAGGCACUAAUUAUAACCAAGGACUGCAUGCUGUGUUUUAUGGGCAAGUCUUCCCUGCUCUGUUUAACGUCCUAGCAGAAACCUCAUAACAAAUUAACAUUUAUAUGGGCCCGUUAAUCUUCAAAGCGUUUCACUGACUUGAGUCAAUUCCAGUGACCCUCGUGGGCAGUAAUAAGCCUUUUAGGACUCCUAUCCUUUUCCCUUCUCCUUCUACUUCUUUGUAGAUAAAGAAAAAACAAACCCAGAGAAACGUGUCAUGCUCUGUGCGAGCUCCUGCAUCAGAGCUGCGGGUGGGUUUGGCUGGGCGGUGUUCCAGGCGUCUGGUUUCAUGCUCUGACCAACACACACCUCCCCUCAAAGCUGCUGUGGAAGGGCUCAAAGCCGCGUUUCAUUCCCAAAGCCUUUGACUAACUCUGAACAAGCUGCUUUUCAUUAGGCAUGCACACAAGCCUGCACACGCACGUGCAUACAUGCAUGCACACACCUCUCUCAAACUGGAUAAGAGGUUUCUGUGUGAGGGGUGGGGAAUAGAGGGAGCUGGAAUUCUCUGCAGAGCCCAUGUCAGCUGAGCAGGGUGUGUACUGGCCGCUGGGUUCAGUGUGUGUUGACCAGGGGCCAGCCCCCUUCCUGCUUCAGUCCAGCUCAGGUGUCAGUUGACGGCUUGUGUGUGCGGAGCCAGGCUGAGUUAUAGAGCCUUAUACUUUAUUUCCAAACCUGCAAUUCCACCCGCGUUUUUGUCAGUUAAUUACAUACAGAGCCCCUUUGUUUGCAGGGAAAUAUGUGAGCGGAGUUCUUUCUUUGUGGGUGUGGAUGAGGCAGCUCUCACUCCUGCGAGGACGCGUCCAGCUCCUUGAGGAGUACGGUGGCAGGGAAGGGGACAGCACUGUCAUGGAGUCAGAUCUGAAUCACGUCCACGGAGCGGUUUACUUUGGGAAUUACCUCCUAUACAUUUCAAAUUCCAUGUUGGUCCCCAUUUGCUACUCUUUCAGAACUAAAAUAAAAUCCGAAGUCCCCCAAGUGACUGAACAGACUCCCUCUUGGCCAAGGGGACCCCAGAGAAACCUGAAAGCUGAGCUCCCAGCCACGAGGGGACGGGCGAUCGGACACGCUUCAUCACAGUCCCUCCCCUUUGUGGUUUAGACGACGAUGAUUGGCUGUCAUGCUAAAAUAGAGACAUGAGACCGACAGCACAGACUCCUUAUGGCAAUAAGACACCAAAUUAUAAGCAGCACCUCAGGCCACGCCAGGCAAGGGUCAAGCCGCGCACUCUACACUUAGAGAACGGGCUCUGCUCUCACACACAGCGCCUUCUUUUUCUCCAGCAGCUAAACACGCACCGGCCCCGAGAUUCAAACGACUGCAGCUCAUCCACCUGCAGACGCUGGCUGACCCCGUUCCACAGCUGUGACUAUAGCUUUGAUUGGACGAGAGGCUGAUUUCAGUCUCCUGGUAAGAGACCGCCAACCAUAGACCUGGUUCAGGCUGAUUAUGGAAGCUGCACACUUGUAUGCCUUCGAGUCCCUGCCUCACCUUUUGACGUGUAGGGACUCAUUGUAAUGCUUUUAAAUGUGAAGCCUCCACCCCAAAGUGAACAUGGGACGCAUGUAACGUGCAUGUUCAGUGGGCACGGCUCAGGACUCUCUUUGUGAAUAUUCAUAGCUCCUCCUGGAACCUGAAUAUGUAUGUUUGGCCAGCUCAAUUCAGCAUGAGGCUCCUGCCGCAACGCCCCCUCCUUCCAGGUGCCUGCCAGCUGUUUCUGCCAGAGGCUGCGUCUCCCGGCCUGUCAGAAUGGCCACCCUGCAGGCUGUAAUCCUUUAGAAGAAAUAAAGAUCCC